rnacentral:rRNA from 1 species
CNUNCNUGGGAGGCGGCAGUAGGGAUUCUUUCAAUGGGGGAAAGCCGCANGCAGCAAGCCGCGUGGGGGAUGAAGACCUUCGGGUUGUAAACCCCUUUUNGCAGGGANGAAAAUGGAGGGAUCCCCCGGAGAAGGACCCGCCAAAUUAUUUCCCCCCGCCCCGGUUAAAAUUUGGGGGCGAGGGUUUUUCCGGUAUUUUUGGGGUAAAAAGGUAAUUGGCGGGUCGGUUAAUUGUGUGUUAAAAUUUCGGGUUCCAACCUGGGACGUCACUUGAUAAANCCGUGGCUUGAGUCCGGUAGGGGAGGGUGGAAUUCCCGGUGUAGCGGUGAAAAGGGCAGAUAUCAGGAGGAACACCAGCGGGGAAGGGGGCGCUUUGGGCCUNUACUGACGCUGAGGAGCGAAAGCGUGGGGAGCAAACAGGAUUAGAUACCCUGGUAGUCCCCUCCGUAAAAGAUGGGCACUAGGUGUGGGAUAUCAACNGUUCCGUGCCGCAGCUAACGCNUAAGUNCNCCNG